AUUCACUCCGUAUGAUGUUAAACAGACAGCAGAGCUUUAUUCUCUCUUGAGUUCAGUGAUUUUAGGAAGAAGAAAGCUUUUUCUGAGGCACAUGAUGUGCUUCUUAAAUCAUAAAAUUUAGGAUCAGGAACUCCUUUUUGUGUACAGGAUUACAAAUGCAAACGUUCUGAAAGGACACCAGUAAGGAUGCAGAUGAAGUGCAGUUACGUCUGAAGAUGACCACAGUCUUAGGAACAUCUGUUCUUGUUUCUGUUUCAUUGCCUAACAGUAUGGGUAAAAUUUUGGGGGGGGUUAUGAAAGUGUUUUGAGAUGAUUUGCUUUUCAACUCAGAGGAGCUACCUUUUUAAUUCUGCAAUGAGUUAUUGCUCUCACUUCGGCAAAAUAAACUGCAUUCCUGCAAAUAAACUGAACUACCUGCUGGUAGUUCAUAAAAUAUCGUAAUAUUGGAAAGUAUGAAUGAAAUAAAUGGUCUCUGCAGAGAAAGUGUUCAUGCAUAAGAAGGGAAUUUUUUCCUGCAUCACCUAAGCAUUGAGCUCAUUCUGCAGCACUAAUGCACUAUUUAGUUCAUUUUUCUGUAAUCAUUUUUAGAUGUACACGCUAAGACAUCAAAUAUGGAAAUUAUAUAUAUAUAUAUUUUUAGAUUAAAAUAAAACAUCGAUGAAACACAUUCCAGAAGCUAAAACUAAAGCACUACAGACACUUUGCUGUCAAAUAGAUCACAUGUCUAUGGGCUGUUAACAAACAGCAAAACUCCUGGACCAAAUUUGACAGAGUCAACAUUUCUACACACCUGGUUCAGCUUUGUUCACCACACCCACUGACAUGUUUACACUGUGAAACCUGCACCUCAACUUCCAAGCCCGCCAAGCUCUGUAGGCGCACACCUGUACGUUACUGAAAGAGCCACCGCCAUUGUAGGACAAAUGAAAAAUAUAUAUCAGUACUGGAGGACACAGAGAGCAAUGAAGAACAAGAUUAAAGUAAAAGGACGUAUAGCCUCAGAAUGUUUCCUUUCAUGACAGUCAAGAAUAGUUCUGUCUCUGUUCACUGUCAUUGCUCAUAGUACUCUUUAAAUAAUAUUUUAGAAAUCAGUUAUCCACGCAGAUGCAUGAAAAGUUCUUCCAAAGGGAUGGCAGUUCAACAAGUUCAAGUUGAAGUCUAUGCAAUUUCAAUGAUUUUUUGACAAAUUGAAAGAAGAUCUUUACAAGAAAGACAAGUAAACUGAAUGACUUUUCUUAAUGGUAUAAUUUGAUCAUACAGUUUAAAAGAUAGUUAUCCCGGAUACUGACCAAAUGUGUGUAAACUUUUGAAUUCAAAGAAAGUUCCAGAAACAUAAAAAAAUUCUCUCCAGAUUUCUGGUAUUUAGCAAAUAGAAAAAAAAGGGUAAUUACAGCUAAGCUGAAACAAGAAAAGUUUAACUUCAGGCAGAGAGAUGUUUCUAUUAAGAAAAAUCAACAACAUGUCUUUUUAGUCAGUGUAUGCAAAUAUCUGGUUUCAAAUGUACAUUUUGAGCUUUUUAAUAAAUGCUCAGAUGCAGCACAUCAAUAUUUCAGCAGCAGAAAGAUGAAUAAAGUCAGUUUACAUUCAGCUUCAUACUGUUGCAGAAUAAUGAUCCUAAACAGGAUAAUGUCCUCACAAAGAAAGUAAUAAAAGCUUUUUGUGGUAUUAUAAAGGUACUUCCAGUUUAAUUCAAUUAUCUUUAUUAAUAUUGAAAGAGUUACAAACAGCUAAAAGGCUCAGACUUAAAGGGAAAGACAAAAGAGAGCAUUUGCAAACAUUAAAUAGACUGAAUUGAUUAUAGAAAGUAUUUACAAGCUCCAUUUUUUAAAAAAUUAUUUUCUUUUUUAUUUUUACCAUCCUAAUCAUUAACACGCUUUGGUAUGAACACGCUUGAAAUAAGACGAUAAGGAGAGACAAAUAGAGGCUGUCAGGGCAGCAGAUGAUGUUUCUCAGCUCUGCAGUGACAUCUUGUGGCUGGAAACUUUUCCUACACCUUUCAUUCAGUGCAGGGGCUCAGGAGCAGUAACGGAGAUAGUACUGGCAACACAAAAAACUCAACCAACCAACCAACCGACCGACCGAGAAGGACCUCGCUGCAGCAAACAGAAAGGGGCGGGACGGACCACUGUCAGUCCCAUACCUUCUUUGGAAAUGGGACUAUUGCAUUCUGGAACUGAAGGGGGCGCUAUUUCCCAAACCUUAAAGAAGCGGGGUUAAGAGGUCGAUUGAAGGAAGUUUGAGAGAUUCUUCCGCUGAUGUUCCGCACACAAUCCAUAAUGCAAAACCCACAAAGUCAGCAAAAGAUUUUCAUAUAUUCAGAUGUGGCCUAACCUGUAGAAACACAUCUCAUUUUCAUUACCCGCACUAUUUUCAACCAUUGACAGGAGGGACGGGUUUGUUAAUCAUUUAGUUAACCACACAAUAACUUUCAAUAUGGUGUCCAGCUGUGCAUCAGUCCAGCCACUUGACCAUCCAGCAGAUACCAACAUCCAGGCAACACAGGCACAUUCAAUCAUUACGCUUUUGUCCACGAGUCACAGACUCUGGGUUCUGAUUCCUGUGUGGCGUUCUGGACGUUGGACACUACAAUACUUAUUUGAUAUUGACCUUCAUAUUUUUUUUUGUGACAUGCCAUUUUAAAUCUUUUCUGCUGAAGCACAUUUGCCUUUUAACAUGUGCAGUCAUCCUUUUUCAAGUUUUCUUUCAGUAUUAUGUAUGUUCCUUUUGUUGUAGCUCAGUUGAUGUACAUUAUUUAGUUUUUAUAGUAAUGGUGUCGUUUCCACACAAAGUUACAGUGUUGUUUAGCAAUUGGAUAACUUUGUUUUAAAAAUGUUAAAUGCAAGCUAAGUUAAUAACUAGCAAUAUUUUAUAUGUGUAAAUACAAUGUUUCCUAUAUUUUUGAGCAAUGACUGGAAUCAAUAAAAAUU